rnacentral:lncRNA from 1 species
UUAUUUAAUGGAAUAGUUUACUACUAACAAAACAACAUCAUUGAUUAGCAAUUAUAACAAGAAUGUUUAAUCAAAGAUUUGUUAGAUUAAGAAAUAUAUAAAUCAACGACGGAAAUACGGAAUGUAAUGAAUAAUUAGGUGCUAUCGAUUUGUGCAUUUUUAAGGCCUGGGGGGUGGGAAGAACUGAGUANAAUUAGGUGCUAUCGAUUUGUGCAUUUUUAAGGCCUGGGGGGUGGGAAGAACUGAGUCCCCGCCAUGAAAGCAUUGAGAGGAGUUGGAUAAGUAGUCGACGAGUC